rnacentral:rRNA from 1 species
GACGAACGCUGGCGGCGUGCCUAAUACAUGCAAGUCGAGCGGACAGAAGGGAGCUUGCUCCCGGAUGUUAGCGGCGGACGGGUGAGUAACACGUGGGUAACCUGCCUGUAAGACUGGGAUAACUCCGGGAAACCGGAGCUAAUACCGGAUAGUUCCUUGAACCGCAUGGUUCAAGGAUGAAAGACGGUUUCGGCUGUCACUUACAGAUGGACCCGCGGCGCAUUAGCUAGUUGGUGAGGUAACGGCUCACCAAGGCGACGAUGCGUAGCCGACCUGAGAGGGUGAUCGGCCACACUGGGACUGAGACACGGCCCAGACUCCUACGGGAGGCAGCAGUAGGGAAUCUUCCGCAAUGGACGAAAGUCUGACGGAGCAACGCCGCGUGAGUGAUGAAGGUUUUCGGAUCGUAAAGCUCUGUUGUUAGGGAAGAACAAGUGCAAAAGUAACUGCUUGCACCAUGACGGUACCUAACCAGAAAGCCACGGCUAACUACGUGCCAGCAGCCGCAGUAACAC